AUGGUGUUUGCUGAUUACGUUGGAAGUCUGCACGUUUGGACUGCAGUCAGGCAGGCAGAUGCAAAAGCCAUUCUUCACUUGUUAUAUUCCACAGUGAGGCUCAUCUGGAUUUGUGUGGGUGCAUUAGAAUGCUCACCAGGGGUUUGAUAGCAUGGACUUUUGAUCUCAGAAUCUAUCUCGUUAUGGCCUUGCAUCUUACUGUUUACCUGUACUGCACGUUCUCUGAAGCUGCAGCACUCUAUUAUACAUUCUGUUAUUGUUUCUCUCUUUACUACCUAAACAUGCUGAUGUGAUGCAAUAUACAGCAUAGAUGGCAUGCAAAACAAUAUUUUUCAAUGUACCAGGUACAUGUGGCCAUAUAAACCUACUGAGUGUUGGUCAGGGCAGUGGGAGAUACAGCAAUGGAACACACCAUUUGGCUCAUUGAGCCUGGGCUGACACAAGAGCACAUGCUUUCACACUAGCACAUUGUAUUCUGCACGCAUUCCCAUCAAUUCUCUAUAGGUUUUACCACGCACCUACACACCGUAGGCAAUUUGCAUUUACCCUAACAAUCCAUAUGUUUUUGCCAUGUGGGAAGACGAUGGACAACUGGAAGAACUCUUCGCCAUUAUAGGGAGAACGUGCGAACUCCGCACAGACAGCACCCAAAGUUGGGAUAGAACCCUGGUCGCUGGAGCUCUGCGACAGCUGCACAGCUGUGCUGCUCUCCAAUUUGAUGAUUCAUUUUUUACAAACGUUUGUAAAAUAGUACCAAAUAAUAUAUUAUUGUUGUCUGGGGAAGGAAAUUUAUCCCGAGUCUUGUCAAAUAAAGUCCACCUGAUUUGAAAUAACCACACAGAUUACUUACUGAACAUUGCUAAAUUGGCACCAGAAUGUGUGCGCCCCCCCCACCACCCAACCCUCAGGUGUAUUGGUUGUUGAUGCAGAUGACACAUUUUGCUGUAUGUUUCAAUGUACAUGUGAUAAAGAAGACUGACUUGUGAGGAUCAAGCUACUAAACUGCUCAUUGUGAUGUGAGUGUACUAAUAAUUGAAUCAAGCUGACAUAACCUUAGGAGCAGCACUGUGCAUGUGGAAAUUUCAUUAAUAGGUAACAAAUGUGCUUAAAACUGAUACAAAAUUAAUUUUUGGAAGAAAAUUAGGACGGGGGGGUGAAACAAUUAAGAAGGCUGCAGAAAGAGGGCAAGAAAUUAGAGCUGGUUAGAAAAUUGGGCAGUGGAACUCAGCUGUUCUGAAUACUUUGCACCUUUAAGCUGACCAUGGCUGGUGUAUGUGGAAUAGAGUCAGCAGUCUGAAAUGAAAAUUAACUAGAAAUAUUUUCUUCAUUUUUCUUAAAGUUAAAGUCAAAGUUGAGUUUAUUGUCAGAUGCACAAAUGCAUGUUUCAGCACAGGUGCCAAUAAGAACUUACUUGCAGCAGUCUCACAGCACAUAGUGGCACAUCAGCAGAGCUCACAUGAAAAUCAUAAAUUAAGCUUGUGUGUUUAAAUAAACUCAUAUGUUUUUAGAUGGAACUAUAGAAUAAUACAGCACAAAAAGCAUGUCCUUUAUGCCACCAGGUCUUUGCUGACCAUCAAGUAUUUCGCAACAUUAAUCCCACUGUGCAACCUACUUUGCCUUUGUUAUUCAAAUGCUCAUCCAGAUGUUUUUUAAAUGUAAGAGUACCUGUUUCCAACAAGAAACGUAUUCCAGAGUACUACCACCCUCUGAGUGAAAAACAUCUUUCCAGAUCCCUCUGAAAUUCCCUAAUCCUCGCCUUAAUCUUGUGCCGUCUGGUCUUAGGCAGCCCCGCCAUUGGGAAGAAGUUUCUUUCAAGCUACUUUAUCUAUGCUUCUCAUAAUUUUUUUAUACUUCUGUCAGUUCCCUGACAACCUCUGAUGAUGCCAGGGAAAACAAGCCCAACCUACUGACACAAAGUGCUGAUGUAGGCUCUCAGCCCAAAAAGUUGACUGUUUACUCUUUUCUAUAGAUGGUGUUCCUCCAGCAUUAUGUGUGUGUUUCUUUGGAUUUGCAGCAUCUGCAGACUUUCUCAUGUACGUGAUACCAGCCUACUGAGUUUCUCUUCGUGGCUGAAACUUAACUAUUACUUGAGCUAAUUUUGUUUUUACACUUAAGUCUGUUUUAAACUGCCUGAUUCCAGCACAUUUGGAAACAAUUGAAAAGGCUGUCAAUGUCUCAUCUAGACGGUCCAUGGCAUGGCCCAAGUUUCCAUCACUUGAGACCUAGACACUCUGCUUCAGUGCAGAACCAUGAUCAUAAGGACAAUGGACCAAUGUUGCUGUAAAUAGUAAGAAUGGUUGUAAGAAUAGUGACAGAGAGAAGAGCAGUUAGACAGAUCAAGCACAAUUUGGCCUAAUAGAACAUAGAAGAGCACAGUACGGGGACAGUACUUUCUGCCUGGAGAUUAGUUUAAUUUGCCAUCAUUUUCAGCACAGACACUUAUCAAGAAUCUAUAUCAACCCAUUCCCUGCAUUUUUACUUAACUAUUAGAAAGCCUCUUCAAUGCCACCAUUGUAUCUGCUUCCCCCACCACCCUGGCAGCAAGUUCCUGUCACCUACCAUCUACCAUCUCUUGCCUCACACAUACUCUUGAAACAUUCUUACUGUUGCCUUAAAGCUAUGCCAUCUAGUACUCAACAUUCCUACCUUGAGUAACAGAGUCUGGCUGUCUACCCUAUCCAUAUCUCUCAUAAAUUUAUAAUCCUCUCAGCCUCUGAUGUUCCAGAGAAAAUAGUCCAAGUUUCUCCAAACUCUCCAGUUCAAGUGUAAUUGUCAUUCAACCAUAUGUGAAUACCCAUGAGUACAGCCAAAUGAAACAGUGUCGCUGUGGGACAAAGGUUCAAAACACAGUACCAAGACUCAAACACGGCACAAGGCACAUAUAUAGCACAUUUAGUAUGUCAGUAAAAUACAGUCACACACAAAAAGAAGCCAAGACCCUGAGUCCAUGAAAGUUGUAGCAAUCUACAAUUGAACACAAGACAGCUUAUCUUCUGCUGAGCGAGUGCUGAGGCAGCAGUGACUCCUGCUUGGACCUGCAGCACACUGACCCUGACACCUCACUCCUGGGCGGCUGUAAACAGGCGAUCCUGUGGCUCCAGGUCUCCAAAUCCUUCUAUUAGUGGCCUGACAGUGCAAACCCUCAAACUGUGAUUUCAGUGCUUAGAAAUGCAGUUCUGGAUACUAUUGUCAUUUGGCCUUGUCAUUAUUUGAACACUUUUACACUCUUGCGCCACCUCUUAGUACAGAAGUUACUACAUCCAUUGGUUGGAAUUCUUGGAUUGUUUAAAAUGAAGAUGAAGGAGCCACUGAAAACUGACUGCAGAUUCAGAUCUUAUUUUGACAUAUAUAAACACUUUCACACUUUCAUUAUUGUCAGUGAUUCAUGUCUUCUGGGCAUCAUCUUAAGACAUCCCUUGAAUAUGCUCUAAAGAUGGAUAAAUUACAGAGGUCCAAGAUAAUGUAAGAGUAUUUUCAGCAAAGAAUAUGCGAAUAUUAAUAUUUCUGUUCUCUGAAAUAUUAUUUCUGUAUUUGCAAAGUAUCAUCUUUUCUGGGUAACAUAGUUAACAUCACUUUAAAAUGUUAAAAUGCACUUAUGUAACAAGCAACUAGAAAUGAAGAUAGACAAUAAAGGCUAUCUAUUGACAUGGUGAAGUAAAUAUAAAUGCUUGAAAAUAAAUCAAUGUCUUGAGAAAUGCCAAAAAAAAUGUAUAGUUCAGUAGGAAGUAUUGUGGUGAGCAUUUGGUCCAUAAUGACGGAUGAGGAAGCUUGUUAAAUUCAGCCACUGUUUUAUUAUGAUAAACACAAAAACAGACUGGGCACUCUGAUCUGCUGAGAGAACCUGCUCAGUCACAUACAGAUGGGGGAGGUGAUUAAUACACACCCUGGUUAUAGUCAGAAGUGACCCACAAACACACAUGUGAAUAACUGCAUAACACAAGCUAAAACGUAACGAUAAGUGAACUUGGACAUCCCACCAUAAUCCCACAAAAGCAUUUUAACACAAGAACAAUAAACAGCACUGGUCAUUAAGAAAUGCGGGGUGGGCUGUUGACCAUGCCCCUGUGAAGCAUCACGAUAUGUUAUUAAAUAAAACUGAAAUUAUCUCUAAGUUACUGAAGUCAGAUUGAUAAUCAAAUGGAGAUAAUAUCAGAUUUACUUGAAUGUCAAAUGGAAGGGUUUUUUUUAUACUUUGCAGGUGUGUCCCUCCUCCUCUAGAGAUGACAACAAAUAACUGGAGAUGAAAAAGUACCUCAAUAAAACCCAGGAAUGCACCUUGUUAAAAUCAAUGAGCUGUUGCACUGAAAUUGAGGAGAAAAAAGUGCACAUUUAAUUGCCUAUCAACUCAAGGGUAAUAGGUUUAUGAGAAACAAUUUCUGAGUUAAUGGAUUAUUAAUAAAAUCUAAUCUGGCAGUUCAGAAUAUGGUUGAAGGAGUUCUAUACUGUCAAGAUCAUGUUUGUUUUAAGGUAGACUUAGAUAUUCCAAAGAACUUGGACUUGGAGGGUAUCACUAAUGGCAAGGGAUAUUUACCCUUCAAAGAAUAUUUUUCAAACAAAUUAUUUGUUCAUUAUCACUUUGUUGUUUCUGGGAAUUUCCUGUUGAUAAAUUGUCUGUUGUUAUUCUUACAUAACAGCAGUGAUCUCAAAAAAUACUUAUCCAUACAGCUCUUUGGGACAUUCUGGGAGUGGUGAAAGGGAUUAUAGAAAUUGAUGACUUUCUUUCUUUAAAGUGAAUUCCAAUGAAGUGAAAUGAAUUGUAAGUAUUUUUGAUUUCUGAUUCUUUAAAAACAGAAUGAAAAAUUGUGUUUGAUUAUUGGAGAGAAAUGUUCAGGGGAGGGCUGCUGUGGGUUACAGUUAUAGUGGAACUGGAUUGUGCAGGCAAAGUACAGUACAUACCUUCUGGUAUAGUGCACAUUUGUUACUCCUUACCAAUGACAAGAAAACAAGAAAAUAGGAGGAGGAGUAGGCCACUCACUCCCUCAAACCUUCCACACCAUUCAAUGUGAUCAUGUCUGAUCUAUGCUGGCCUCAUAUACUCCUCUCUGCCAGUUCCCCACAACCCUUAAUUCAUUGUUCUUUCAAAUACUUAUCUGCCAGCACCCUGAAUAUCUGAAUAUAUCUAAUGAUCUGUCAUCCAUCGUUCUCCGAGGCAGAGAUUCCCUACCUUUCUAUACCCCUCAGUUUUAAAUGACAAGCCCCUUGCUUUAUAGCUGUUUCAUAUUGUGUAUGCCUCUUCCACUAAUGGAAACAUAUCAACACCUACCCUGUCAAGCUUCCUGAGGUUUUUGGAGACACAAGAAACAGCAGGUGCUGCACCUUCAAGCAGUACAAAAAAGGUUAGAAGAACUUGCUGGGUCAGGCGGGAUCCAUGGAGGGAACUCUACGGUAGUGUCUUGACCCAAAAUGUCCACUGUUCAUUUCCCCUCAUAGGUGCUGCCUGACCUGAGUUUCUCCAGCUUUUUGUGCAUUGCUCCUGAAGUGAUUAUUUGUUUGAAUAACACAUUUCUAGAAAUAUUUUUCUAGGGCUAAAGCAACAUUAUCUGAAUUAAAAGAAGAUAAACCCCUGUUGACAAUCAGAUCUUCUAGAGAAGAUUGUGGGGAAACUUCAUUUUAAGGUUCAUUUGCUGGCAUUGCACUGAGGCAAGAUUCAAACUCUUUGCCCAGGAUCUCUAUAGACACACGGGAAAGCACUAGUUUUCUGGAUAAUUUGGCGAUGUGGCGUGGCGUGUUGGGUUCUGGCCCCUCCCAUCAGUGCUGCUCUCCAGUGUUUGCUCAGUGGAAGAUAUUGGAUUGCAUUUGUCUGCGGACUGCUGAGGGUUUGUUCUUGCCGACAACAUUCACGUACCGUUAAUUUCCAGGACUUGACACCCAGGGACUUGAUCUAUAUUAUAUGUUUUUGUGUCUAUAUGUUUACUGCUAGCUUAUAUGUACUACAUGUGUUGUGUAUCACCGUUGGUACCGUGUUUUGCACCUUGCCCCCGGAAAAAUGCUGUUUAGUUUGACUGUAUUCAUGGGUAUUCAUGUAUGGUUGAAUGACAAUUGAACUCCAAUUUGAUCAUGUAUGCACACACAUAUAAACCACAACUCAGCAUUCAACACCAUCAUUCCCUCAAAACUAAUCAAAAAGCUCCAAGAACUUGGCCUCAAUACCGCCUUGUGAAAUUGGAUGCUUGUAGAUCUCAGUCAGUUUGGAUUGGCAACAAUAUCUCCUCCACAAUCUCCAUCAGCACAUUCACACCACAGGGAUGUGUGCUUAGCCCCUGCUCUACUUGCUUUACACCUAUGACUGUGUGGCUAAGCACAGCUCUGAUGCCAUAUUCAAAUUUACUGAUUUCACCACUGUCAUGGGCUGAAUCAAAGGUGGUGAUGGAUCAGCAUAUAGGAGGGAGAUUGAAAAUCUGGUUGAGUCAUGUUAUAACAACCUCUCACUCAAUAUCAACAAGACCAAAGAAUGAAUUGGAGACUUCAGGAAAGGGAUACCAGAGGUAUAUAAGUCAGUCCUCAGAAGAUCAGAGGUGGAGAGGGUCAACAACGUAAUUCCUGGAUGUUACUAUUUCAAAAGACCUUUCCUGGGCCCAGCACAUAAGUGCAAUUGCAAAGAAAGCAUGGCAGCAGAGCCUCUACUUCCUUAGGAGUUUGCAGAGAUUUGGCAUGACAUCUAAAACUUUGGCCAACUUCUAUAGAUGUGUGCUGGAGAGUACAUUGAAUGGCUGCAUCACAGCCUGGUAAGGGAAUACCAAUGCCCUUGAAUGGAAAAUCCUACAAAAAGUAGUGGAUUCAGCCAAGUAGAUAAUGCCCUCCUAACCAUUAAGCACAUCUGCAUGAAAUAUUGUGGUAGGAAAGCAGCAUCCAUCAUCAGAGAUCCUGAUCACUCAGAUCUUUCUAUCUUCUUUCUGGUACCAUCAGAUAGAAGGUACAAGAUUCUCAGAAACAGCACUACCAGAACAGUUACUACCCUCAACCAUCAGGCUCUUGAAUAGAAGGGAUUACUUAAAUCAACUUCACUUGGCCCAUCAUUGAAAUGUUUCCACAGUCAAUGAUCUCACUUUCAAGGACUCUUUAUCUCAUUAUCUCAUCUUUUUGUUAUUUAUUGCUAUUUGUUUAUAUUUGCAUUUAUACAUUUUCUAAUCUUCUGCAUUCUAGUUGAUCUCUCAUUGAUCCUUUUUUAGUUGCUAUGCUGUAGAUUUGCUGAGUAUUCUCACAAGGAAAUGAAUCUCAGGGUUGCAUGUGGUGACAUGUACUUUGAUAAUAAAAUUUACUUUAAACUUUUUAAGUAAUAAAAAUCAGAAUAACUGUAUCUUAACGAAGUUAAAUGAUUUUGGAUAUGAUUAUGUGCCUGAUUUAAAAAGUGGGAAGAAUCAAUUCAGAUCAUUACCAUUGAUAUUUGUGUUUUACGUUUUUUAAUGACAAUUAAAUUCCAAGAGGCAGUUUCAGUGACAUUAAAGAUAUUCAAGGCCUCGAAGGACGAAGAAUGAAAUGGAGUCAUCAACCCUGUCAUGGUCGAGAGAUUAAGAGAUUUUUUUAUAUCUGAUGAAUGUUUAGACAGUCCUAAUUGUUUGCCCGAACUCAAGUCUGCCAGAUGGCAGAAAUGGUAUAUUCUCCCCACUAGAAUGGCCUGAGAGCAAAUGUGUACAGCUCAUGUACCAAAGAAGGUGACAGAUGUUAUGAUGUUUCACAUAGGCUGAAAAUUAUGUUUAUAUUUGUUUAUCUCAGAGUUCUUUUUAUGACCUUGGUUGAGUAUUUGUCGCAUGAGUUGUCGCUCAUUUGGCAGCAGGCUCAUUGUGAGCCAUAUGUUUCUAGGGUUAAGUCAUUGACAGAGACAUAAGCCCCAAAAAAAGCCUAGUUUGACAUUCUCAUGCCUGACUGGGGGAGUGCUGCACUGUUCAGAACAUUCGCAGAGGAUUGUAAACUCAUCCAGCUCCAUCGCAGGCACUAACCUUCCAACUAUCAAGGACAUCUUCAAAAGGUGAUGCCUCAGUAAGACAGUUUCCAUCAUGGACCACCACCCAGGACAUGAUCCUUUCUCAUUACUACCAUCAGGGAAGAACACACUCUGUUUUAGCAACAGCUUCUUCUCCUUCACCAUCAGAUUUCUGAACAAUCCAUGAACACUGCCUCAUUACUUUGCUCUCUUUUUGCAUUACUUAUUUAUUUUUUAUAUAUUUCUCAUUGUAACUUGCUGUAGUUUUUGAUGUAUUGCACUGUGCUGCUGCUGUAAAAUGGCAAAUAUUAUGUCAGGAAUAAUAAGCCUGAUUCUGAUUGUGAAGGUGUUGGCUUUUGGAUAACAGGUUAAUCUGUCAUCCUGUCUGCCCUUGGGGUACAUGUAAAAUAUCCUAAUAGCACAAUUUAGAUGCAUUGGGAUUAUUAGCCCUGGUGUACUAGUCAGCAUUUAGGCUUCAGUUAUCUUUCCAUUAUCAGUCUGAUAUUUGUGGGAGAUAGUCGGACAAAUUAUCUUCUGUGCUUCUGCAUUACUAAUAGUGGACCUUUGAUUUUACUUCACUAACCACACAACACUUUGAGACGUUUGUAGAACUCGCUUUGUAUUUUUGAUUGAUGUUUUUGAUUUCAAAUAAAUGCAGCAAUGUUGAAAAGUAACAUUUCGUGGUCCCCAGUUCCCGGUCUUCCUGUUCACACUUCCCUCUCAAAUGCUCCUCCAUCAAACUUCUCACCAUUCUCCUAUCACUGUUCACCUUCACUUGCACCAGUCCUUGAAUCUUUCACCUUCAGUGUAAGUGGUGAAUUACAUAUACCUGUCUGGACA